rnacentral:sRNA from 1 species
GUCUUGAUACUAAGUGAGUUUUUGUAGUGUUCAUUGGUUCCUUACAAAUCCUUUUUUUAAAUAGGGACAGCUAGUGGUUCCAACAGUCCUACCUCAGAUUCUGCAUCUGUACAGAGAGCAGACACUAGCUUAAACAACUGUGAAGGUGCUGCUGGCAGCACAUCUGAAAAAUCAAGAAAUGUGCCUGUGGCUGCCUUGCCUGUAACUCAGCAAAUGACAGAAAUGAGCAUUUCAAGAGAGGACAAAAUAACUACCCCGAAAACAGAGGUGUCAGAGCCAGUUGUCACUCAGCCCAGUCCAUCAGUUUCUCAGCCCAGUACUUCUCAGAGUGAAGAAAAAGCUCCUGAAUUGCCCAAACCAAAGAAAAACAGAUGUUUCAUGUGCAGAAAGAAAGUUGGUCUUACAGGGUUUGACUGCCGAUGUGGAAAUUUGUUUUGUGGACUUCACCGUUACUCUGACAAGCACAACUGUCCGUAUGAUUACAAAGCAGAAGCUGCAGCAAAAAUCAGAAAAGAGAAUCCAGUUGUUGUGGCUGAAAAAAUUCAGAGAAUAU